GCUCACAAGCCAGGUUACUAGCAUCAGCCUGGUUAGAUGAAAGAAAGAAGAAAGAACAAAGGACAACCCAAACAUUCCAUGUUUCUAUUAUUAGACAACAUGGCUUCUCGCUUUUUACAUGAAUAAUAAAGUUAUUUUUACAGGGCCACGAUAAGAGAAAACUUCAAUGCUUUUCCUGACUGCUUUGGAAUGUUGGAUUUUUAAGAUGGUUUGAUGGACUACUUUACAGAUGUGAUUUGGGGACCCAGCAGAAAGAAUAUGUUAGCAGUACCUGAGCCUCACUGACAGAAUUCUUGAGAAUUAUGGACAUUGAAACCAAAUAGAAAUUAAAAUAAAUAUGGCUAU
rnacentral:lncRNA from 1 species